UACAGAGACUGCAAGCGUUAUUCGGAUUCACUGGGCGUAAAGGGUGCGCAGGCGGCCAAGUGUGUGAGGCGUGAAAGCCCGGGGCUUAACCCCGGAAUUGCACCUCAAACCUACAUGGCUAGAGCAUUGGAGAGGGUAGCGGAAUUCACGGUGUAGCAGUGAAAUGCGUAGAUAUCGUGAGGAACACCAGAGGCGAAGGCGGCUUCCUG
rnacentral:rRNA from 1 species